GACGAACGCUGGCGGCAUGCCUAAUACAUGCAAGUCGAACGCUGAAGCACUCUGCUUGCAGAGUGCGGAUGAGUGGCGAACGGGUGAGUAACACGUGGGAAAUCUGCCUAGGAGUGGGGGAUAACAUUCGGAAACGAAUGCUAAUACCGCAUAUCUUUUUGAACCGCAUGGUUCUUAAACGAAAGACGGCUUCGGCUGUCGCUCUUAGAUGAUCCCGCGGCGUAUUAGUUAGUUGGUGGGGUAAAGGCCUACCAAGACCAUGAUGGGUAGCCGGCCUGAGAGGGUGAACGGCCACAAGGGGACUGAGACACGGCCCUU
rnacentral:rRNA from 1 species